rnacentral:rRNA from 1 species
GUGAGGAAUUUUCCGCAAUGGGCGAAAGCCUGACGGAGCAAUGCCGCGUGAAGGAUGAAGGCCCAUGGGUUGUAAACUUCUUUUCUCAGAAAAGAAUUAUGACGGUAUCUGAGGAAUAAGCAUCGGCUAACUCUGUGCCAGCAGCCGCGGUAAGACAGAGGAUGCAAGCGUUAUCCGGAAUGAUUGGGCGUAAAGCGUCUGUAGGUUGUUUAAAAAGUAUUCUGUCAAAGAUUAGGGCUUAACCCUAGAUAGGCAGAAUAAACUUUUAAGCUAGAGUUUGGUAGAGGCAGAGGGAAUUCCCGGUGGAGCGGUGAAAUGCGUAGAUAUCGGGAGGAACACCAAAGGCGAAGGCACUCUGCUGGGCCAAUACUAACACUGAGAGACGAAAGCGAGGGGAGCAAAUGGGAUUAGAUACCCUGGUAGUCC